UACGUAGGGCGCAAGCGUUUGUCCGGAAUUAUUGGGCGUAAAGAGCUCGUAGGCGGCUUGUCACGUCGGGUGUGAAAGCCCGGGGCUUAACCCCGGGUCUGCAUUCGAUACGGGCAGGCUAGAGUGUGGUAGGGGAGAUCGGAAUUCCUGGUGUAGCGGUGAAAUGCGCAGAUAUCAGGAGGAACACCGGUGGCGAAGGCGGUUCUCUGGGCAUUACCUGACGCUGAGGAGCGAAAGUGUGGGGAGCGAACAGG
rnacentral:rRNA from 1 species